rnacentral:rRNA from 1 species
GGGUUGUGAGGUUAAGCGACUAAGCGUACACGGUGGAUGCCCUGGCAGUCAGAGGCGAUGAAGGACGUGCUAAUCUGCGAUAAGCGUCGGUAAGGUGAUAUGAACCGUUAUAACCGGCGAUUUCCGAAUGGGGAAACCCAGUGUGAUUCGUCACACUAUCAUUAACUGAAUCCAUAGGUUAAUGAGGCGAACCGGGGGAACUGAAACAUCUAAGUACCCCGAGGAAAAGAAAUCAACCGAGAUUCCCCCAGUAGCGGCGAGCGAACGGGGAGCAGCCCAGAGCCUGAAUCAGUGUGUGUGUUAGUGGAAGCGUCUGGAAAGGCGUGCGAUACAGGGUGACAGCCCCGUACACAAAAAUGCACAUACUGUGAGCUCGAUGAGUAGGGCGGGACACGUGGUAUCCUGUCUGAAUAUGGGGGGACCAUCCUCCAAGGCUAAAUACUCCUGACUGACCGAUAGUGAACCAGUACCGUGAGGGAAAGGCGAAAAGAACCCCGGCGAGGGGAGUGAAAAAGAACCUGAAACCGUGUACGUACAAGCAGUGGGAGCACGCUUAGGCGUGUGACUGCGUACCUUUUGUAUAAUGGGUCAGCGACUUAUAUUCUGUAGCAAGGUUAACCGAAUAGGGGAGCCGAAGGGAAACCGAGUCUUAACUGGGCGUUAAGUUGCAGGGUAUAGACCCGAAACCCGGUGAUCUAGCCAUGGGCAGGUUGAAGGUUGGGUAACACUAACUGGAGGACCGAACCGACUAAUGUUGAAAAAUUAGCGGAUGACUUGUGGCUGGGGGUGAAAGGCCAAUCAAACCGGGAGAUAGCUGGUUCUCCCCGAAAGCUAUUUAGGUAGCGCCUCGUGAAUUCAUCUCCGGGGGUAGAGCACUGUUUCGGCAAGGGGGUCAUCCCGACUUACCAACCCGAUGCAAACUGCGAAUACCGGAGAAUGUUAUCACGGGAGACACACGGCGGGUGCUAACGUCCGUCG